CCCUUAGAUGUUCUGGGCCGCACGCGCGCUACACUGAUGCAUUCAACGAGUCUAAAACCUGGUCUGAUAGGGCUGGGUAAUCUUUUGAAUGUGCAUCGUGAUUGGGAUAGAUGAUUGCAAUUCUUCAUCUUCAACGAGGAAUGCCUAGUAAACGCAAGUCAUCAGCUUGCAUUGAUUACGUCCCUGCCCUUUGUACACACCGCCCGUCGCUCCUACCGAUUGAAUGGUCCGGUGAAGCGUUCGGACCGUGGCCUUUGGACGGUUCGCCGUCUGUUGGCUGCGGGAAGUUCGUUAAACCUUAUCAUUUAGAGGAAGGAGAAGUCGUAACA
rnacentral:rRNA from 1 species